rnacentral:tRNA from 1 species
GGGAUUGUGGCUCAAGUGGUGGAGCACUUGCCUGGGAUGCGUGAGGCACUGGGUUCGAGUCUCAGCACCA